rnacentral:rRNA from 1 species
AUUGAACGCUGGCGGCAUGCCUUACACAUGCAAGUCGAGCGGCAGCGCGGGGCAACCCUGGCGGCGAGCGGCGAACGGGUGAGUAAUGCAUCGGAACGUGUCCUCUUGUGGGGGAUAACCAGUCGAAAGACUGGCUAAUACCGCAUGAGAUCGAAAGAUGAAAGCAGGGGACCGCAAGGCCUUGCGCGAGAGGAGCGGCCGAUGCCGGAUUAGCUAGUUGGUGGGGUAAAAGCCUACCAAGGCGACGAUCCGUAGCUGGUCUGAGAGGACGACCAGCCACACUGGGACUGAGACACGGCCCAGACUCCUACGGGAGGCAGCAGUGGGGAAUUUUGGACAAUGGGGGCAACCCUGAUCCAGCCAUGCCGCGUGUGUGAAGAAGGCCUUCGGGUUGUAAAGCACUUUCGGCCGGAACGAAAUCGCGCGAUCUAAUAAGUCGCGUGGAUGACGGUACCGGAAGAAGAAGCACCGGCUAACUACGUGC